rnacentral:rRNA from 1 species
CUCUGAGUUUCUAUACUUGAGUACCAUAGGUAAUGAAAAUCCUGUGGGAAGCAGGCUGAACUACCAGCCAAGGCUAAAUACUACCCUCUCACCGAUAGUGAACCAGUACCGUGAGGGAAAGGUGAAAAGUAGGGAGGUGAUCCCGGUGAAAUAGAACCUGAAACCAUCUCGCCCACAAAGAAUAGGAGCACUUCGCUUCGCUUCGUGUUCCUUAAAUUCGAAUUUCGAAUUUGGGAAUACCGAGCGGAGCGAAGUGUGACUGUGUGCCUAUUGAAGAAUGAGCCAACGAGUGGCGGUCAACUUUUUGUCUAAGUCCUUCUGGGACGAAGGCGAAGCGAAAGCGAGUGCGAAUAGCGCGCAAUUGAGAUUUUUCUCAAAAAAAGUUGGCUGCCGACCCGAAGCCAAGCGAGCUUGCCAUGGCCAGGGUGAAUCUUAGAGAAAUCUGAGAGGAGGCCCGAACCCGUGAGUCGUGCAAUACUUUGGGAUGAGCUGUGGCAAGAAGUGAAAAGCUAAUCGAGCUUGGUAAUAGCUGGUUCUCCCCGAAAUAGCUUUAGGGCUAGCGCCUCGUUAAAUAAGAUACUUUGGGGGUAGAGCACUGGAAAGAAUAUCGUGGAGCAAUCCAGGUAUUUUUACCAAACUCCGAAUACCAGAGUAUCUAACGGGGUAGUCAGAACCUGGGCGCUAAGGUCCAGGCUCAAAAGGGAAAGAGCCCAGACCUUCAUCUAAGGUCCCUAAAUCUGAGCUAAGUGACAAAGGAAGUGGAAUUCCAUUGAUAGCUAGGAGGUGAGCUUAGAAGCAGCUAUCCUUUAAAAAAUGCGUAAUAGCUUACUAGCUAAGGAAUUCUGCGCCGAAGAUUUACCAGGACUAAAGCUCAUUACCGAAGAUAAGGUUCCUUGUCCUUCGGACAAGGAAAUUCUAAGUACUGAAUCCUAAAUUCUAAACUAAAAGUAAAAUAAUUUAUUCAUAUAGUUUAGGAUUUAGAAAUUCGAAUUUAGGAUUUCCUCGCCCGGAGGGCGAGGAGGUAGGGGAGCGUUCUCUUGGCAGCGAAGUUGAAUCGUGAGGUUCAAUGGAGCUAAGAGAAGUGAGGAUGUUGGUAUGAGUAACCGCAAGGCAAGUGAAAUCCUUGCCCACCGAAAACCUAAGGUUUCCUUGGCAACGGCAAUCGACCAAGGGUUAGGCGAUCCUUAGGCAAAGCCGAAAGGCCUAGCUGAUGGAUAGCCGGUUAAUAUUCCGGCCCGUCCGUUAGAUAAAAUUCAAGUGACGCAGUCAAAAUCUUUGGGAGGAUUAUUGGAUUUCCAGGUUGGAGUUUUUCCAGCCACCUCAAAGAUUAGAUUGCCUAGAAAAACUUGGACUAUAUUAUCUAAUGGACCUCGUACCGCAAACCGACACAGGUAGGUGGGUGUAAGUGUACCAAGGUGAACGGGUGAAAGCUCCUGAAGGAACUCGGCAAAAAAGUAGGCGUAAGUUCGCAAUAUGCCUUGCCUUGUGUUGAACGAGGCUGCAACAAACGUUUCCCUGGCGACUGUUUAACUAAAACACAGGUCCCUGCUAAACUCCAAAGAGGAUGUAUAGGGGCUGAGGCCUGACCAGUGCCCGUGUGUUAUGGGUGCCAGUUUCCCUGAGAGAGCCGCAAGGCCUCAUCUCAGGGCGGCUGAGUGCCUUAAGCCACGGGUAAACGUCCGCUCUAACUCUGAGAGUGUUAAAGUAGCGUCAUCCCUUGUCGAGUAAGUUUCGGCCCGCAUGAAAGGCUUCACGACUAGGGAACUGUCUCCAGGAGCCGCCCGGUGAAAAUACGAUAAGCGUGAAGACGCGCUUUACCUGCGGUUAGACGAAAAGACCCCGAGAGCUUUACUGCAGCCUGAUAUUGAACUUUGGUUUUGGAUGCGUAGCGUAGAAGGGAGACUUUGAAGCCCUGUUUUCGGAUGGGGUGGAGUCAACAAUGAAACACCUUCCUUUCAAAACCUUGGUUCUAACCCGAAAGGAGACAGUGUCUGGUGGGCAGUUU